rnacentral:rRNA from 1 species
GAUGAACGCUGGCGGCGUGCCUAAUACAUGCAAGUCGAGCGAAUGGAUUAAGAGCUUGCUCUUAUGAAGUUAGCGGCGGACGGGUGAGUAACACGUGGGUAACCUGACCAUAAGACUGGGAUAACUCCGGGAAACCGGGGCUAAUCCCGGAUAACAUAUUGAACCUCAUGGUUCGAAAUUGAAAGGCGCCUUCGGCUGUCACUUAUGGAUGGACCCGCGUCGCAUUAGCUAGUUGGUGAGGUAACGGCUCACCAAGGCAAUGAUGCGUAGCCGACCUGAGAGGGUGAUCGGCCACACUGGGACUGAGACACGGCCCAGACUCCUACGGGAGGCAGCAGUAGGGAAUCUUCCGCAAUGGACGAAAGUCUGACGGAGCAACGCCGCGUGAGUGAUGAAGGCUUUCGGGUCGUAAAACUCUGUUGUUAGGGAAGAACAAGUGCUAGUUGAAUAAGCUGGCACCUUGACGGUACCUAACCAGAAAGCCACGGCUAACUACGUGCCAGCCGCCGCGGUAA